rnacentral:rRNA from 1 species
UACGAAGGGGGCUAGCGUUGCUCGGAAUCACUGGGCGUAAAGCGCACGUAGGCGGAUUGUUAAGUCAGGGGGUGAAAUCCUGGAGCUCAACUCCAGAACUGCCUUUGAUACUGGCGACCUUGAGUCCGGGAGAGGUGAGUGGAACUGCGAGUGUAGAGGUGAAAUUCGUAGAUAUUCGCAAGAACACCAGUGGCGAAGGCGGCUCACUGGCCCGGUACUGACGCUGAGGUGCGAAAGCGUGGGGAGCAAACAGGG